rnacentral:rRNA from 1 species
GAGUUUGAUUCUGGCUCAGGACGAACGCUGGCGGCGUGCUUAACACAUGCAAGUCGAACGGGAACCUUUAUUUCGGUAAAGGUGAGAGUGGCAAACGGGUGAGUAACACGUAGGCAACCUGCCGACAGGAUGGGGACAACAUUCCGAAAGGAAUGCUAAUACCGAAUGGAGUCCGAGGAUGGCAUCAUCCUCGGAUAAAAGAUGGCCUCUGAAUAUGCUAUCGCCUGUCGAUGGGCCUGCGUCUGAUUAGCCAGUUGGCGGGGUAACGGCCCACCAAAGCGACGAUCAGUAGCCGGUCUGAGAGGAUGAACGGCCACAUUGGGACUGAGACACGGCCCAGACUCCUACGGGAGGCAGCAGUGGGGAAUCUUCCACAAUGGGCGAAAGCCUGAUGGAGCAACGCCGCGUGAGUGAAGAAGGUCUUCGGAUCGUAAAGCUCUGUUGCACGGGACGAAAACCGAGCUUGAGAAUAUUGAGUUUGGGUGACGUACCNGCNG